rnacentral:rRNA from 1 species
UGACCUCAAAUCAGGUAGGACUACCCGCUGAACUUAAGCAUAUCAAUAAGCGGAGGAAAAGAAACUAACAAGGAUUCCCCUAGUAACUGCGAGUGAAGCGGGAAAAGCUCAAAUUUAAAAUCUGGCGGUCUUUUGGCUGUCCGAGUUGUAAUCUAGAGAAGUGCUAUCCGCGCUGGACCGUGUACAAGUCUCCUGGAAUGGAGCAUCAUAGAGGGUGAGAAUCCCGUCUUUGACAUGGACUGCCAGGGCUUUUGUGAUGCGCUCUCAAAGAGUCGAGUUGUUUGGGAAUGCAGCUCAAAAUGGGUGGUAAAUUCCAUCUAAAGCUAAAUAUUGGCGAGAGACCGAUAGCGAACAAGUACCGUGAGGGAAAGAUGAAAAGAACUUUGGAAAGAGAGUUAAACAGUACGUGAAAUUGCUGAAAGGGAAACGCUUGAAGUCAGUCGCGUCGUCCAGGGAUCAACCUUGCUUUUGCUUGGUGCAUUUUCUGGUUUGACGGGUCAGCAUCAAUUUUGACCAUUGGAAAAAGGUCGAGGGAAUGUGGCAUCUUUGGAUGUGUUUAUAGCCCUUGGUCACAUACAAUGGUUUGGGAUUGAGGAACUCAGCACGCCGCAAGGCCGGGUUGCAAAACCACGUACGUGCUUAGGAUG